rnacentral:lncRNA from 1 species
UGUAAAAUAUAAUUGAAUUCAUUCACUUAAUAAACAAAUUUAUUUGUAAAUCAAUUAAGAAUCCCAUUUUGUAUUUCUUCAUCAAGAGUUUUGGUAAUCAUCAAUAUGUAUGUGUAUAUGUACAUGUAUAUGUACAUGUAUAAUAUGGGAGUGUCACUUAUAUAGUAAAAUAUAUGAAUUUUUUUUUUUAUUACAAAGUCAAUUUAUUAUCCUUACAUAGAGAUAUUAAUGUGAUAAAGAUUGAAGAAGACCCAUGCCAAGACUUCUUGAUUGAUGUGUUUAGUCCACUACUGUUUUCAAUUUAGUUGGUUUGGAGUUCGGACAGUUCCAUUUCAUUAUUACACAUUCAUGACUGCUGUGUGCACUCCAUUUACAAACAUCAAUUUUCAACACACAAGAUGUAUACACACACACACACACACACACA